CAGGGUCUACACAGCGGCACAUGGGCGAGGACCACGGAGAGCAGUAUGGGCACACUCAGAGCGGGGCCAUAAACCCGCAGUAUUACCCAGAUGGUCACGGGGAGUACUCCUAUCAACAGACCUCAUACGGAGAGCAAUACGAGCGGAGUUUUGAUGAAUCCUCACAACAUUAUUAUGAAGGUAACUCUCAGUACAGUCAGACACAGGGUCAGUAUCAGCAGGGCUCGGGUCAGCAGGCCUUCGGACAGCAGCAGUACUCCUCCCAACCAGGCUACGGCGCUCCACCUCAAGGAUACGGUCCAGGCCAGGGCAGUUCUUCUCAGUAUCCUCAUUAUCAACAGGGUCAGGGUCAGUACGGGUCAUACCGCUCGUCCCAG
ensembl:lncRNA